ACUUGCGAUAUACCGAUUCGAUCACGACCGGUCGAAGGAUAUUCGGCUUACCACCGUCUAUCAUACGACUCGACAUGCUACGUCAACGGAUAUUCGACUUGCGACAUACCGACCCGGUCACAACCGAUCGAAGGAUAUUCGGCUUGCCACCGUUUAUCACACGUCCCGACGUGCAUGCUCGACCCAGGGGCCGGACAAUGGAUAUUCGACUUGCCAUCGUUAUCCUAUCCGAAUACGUCGGACGUUACUCGACUAUCGGAUACGUCGGAUGCUACUCGACUAUCAGACUCUACGGGA
rnacentral:lncRNA from 1 species